rnacentral:lncRNA from 12 species
GGGGGGGGGGGGGGGGGGGGGGGGGGGGGGGGGGGGGGGGGGGGGGGGGGGGGGGGGGGGGGGGGGGGGGGGGUGUCCCUCAAGGAGUCCCUGUGGCUCUCCGGUGUCCCCGCAGCUCUCCGGUGUCCCAGUGCUCUCCGGUGUCCCUGUGGCUCUCCGGUGUCCCCGCAGCUCUCCGGGGUCCCAGGCUCACCGGGCCGGGGCUCCGGGGUCCCUCUGCCCGCAGUAGCCGGUGCCCGGGAGCCGCUCCAUGGCCUCCUGUGCCAUCAGGCAGGGUCGCAGCCGCCUCGGCGCUGCGCUGCCGAAAUCCUCAAGCGCGGCCGUGUUUCAUAACGCUGCCCUGCCCGGGGAAGCUGCCUGUGCUCCGAGGCUGCCCAGCAGAGCUCUGCAGCCUCCUGCAGCUGCCGACGUUUCCAGAGCCGCCCGCUCCUCUGUCCGGGCGCACGGGCGGCCGCAUCGGCAGAGCUGCAGCAGCAGCAGAGCCCCGGACGCGAUCAGCUGAGCGGAUGCUCCGCGUUUGUUCCUCGUCUCUCUUCCCACUAGGGGCACAUCCCUCCAGAGCUGCCCCCCCGAGACCCCGACCCUUCCCCGCAGCUCCAGAGGGUCCCGGGAAAGCGAGUCCCUGACGGCGUCCCGGCGCCAGCUCCGAGAUCUCGGGCAGGAAAUUGGUAUUCUGGGCACAGGUGGCUGGAAAUAAAUUAUUUAUAAAUGUGAGAGCUGAAAGGCAGCUGCUGGUGUCCUCAGGACUGCCUGUGCUGCCACCUUCCCUGCGUGUUCCAGCUCCGUUCUGCUGCUGCUUCCGUGGAGAUUGAGCAAUUGAUAAUUAUCCUUAAAGCAUCUGCAUUUAAAUGGGGCCUGGCUGCGCCCCUGCCCAGGGCUUUGAAACACCCUGCGGU